rnacentral:lncRNA from 13 species
GGUGGGAGGGUGGGAAGGGGGCGAGGUUUGAAGAAUGAUGUAGCGGGUAAAAUAUUUACUACUUGUGUGAUAGGUAAGCUAACAGCCCAGACUUUGCCUCUACACAAUUUAUGCAUGUCAGACAUCUGCACUUGAACCCCCUAAAUCUAUCAAAAUAACAAUUAUUAAAAGAAACUAAGCUUCAGAUUUUGUUUUUCUUAUUAUCAUGGUGUCAAAAGAUUGGUUCCAUCUGGAAAAAGUGGUUGCCUACGGUGACAUAAAUAGUUAACACCAGAGGGUGGAAGACCAAAUGCUACCUUGGAGGAGCCCUGAGGGUUCAUUGAACUCUAAAGGACAACGGAAGAGAGGUGGGGUUUCACCAUGUUGGCCAGGGUGAUCUCGAACUACUGACCUCAAGUGAUCUGCCCUCCUUGGCCUCCCAAAAUUCUGGGAUUAGGUGAGCCACUGCACCUGGCCAUGCAGUGACAUCUUUUGAUGGAGGCAACCUGGAUCUCAACUUUACGAUGCAGAAGUUAGGUACUCAUGGAGUCUUCUGACCCACUUUGAACUUUAGGCAAAUAAGAAGUAAACAUGUAUUGUGUUAAGUCACCAGGGUUCUGAGGUUUGUUUAUUACAGCAUCGGAGCCUUACAGUCUUGAGCAAUGCAAAAAGAAGCAGACAUGGUGCAGAAAGGGUCAAAAAUGAGCCUAGGUCACACAGUUAGGAAAUCAUGGGGCC